GUUUUAAAAUCCAACAAAAAAUUAUGGCACAAGGGCAGGGAACAUUAUACAAGAAAAACAUUCUCCUUGAUAUUCUUGCCAGCAUGCGGAGGGGAGAAAAACCAAUGAACAAACACAGAGGAGGAGUGCAGAUCUGAAACUGGAUUCUGGGAUGGUAGCUGAACAACAUGUUCUAGGGAUGAAACUUUCAAAAGAGACUCUACCAAGGAAAAUCAAGUCUCUUCUUAGAUGGCACACUCAGAAGCAAUAACAAUAUUUUACAAAUGACAAUGGAUAUCUGAUU